AGUCUCACUAUUUAGUUCUGGGGGUCCUGGAACUCAUUAUGUAAGCCAGGCAGACCUUGGAUUUAGUGACAGAUCAGCCUGUCUCUGCCCUGUGGUGCUGGGGUCAAAGAAUCCUGCCAAGUCCAGGUGUUCACCCGAAAUCUGCAUCCAGGACAACUCUACGAUGGCUACUCACAGGUGCUUGGGUCUAACCUCACAGAUGCUCCAACUGGGCCUGCACUUUCCUAGCCCCGGAUAUCCUCACAGAUCCUGGGCAGCAGUGAAAGAGCCAGCUCUCCCAGGACUUGGCCAGCCUCUCAAUUUUCUCAGGGUCCCCAUAGAUGACAUCAUCGCCCCUCCCUCCCGCCCCCAGUCAGCAGGAAGUAGUUUAAAGAACAAAACAACCUCACAGGUUUAAAGAACAUGCCCCCACCAUCACCCCUUCCUAGCUCCUCAUUUUUCAUUAAAUUUAGAAGGGAGGAAUGUUAGCUUAUAGGUGAUUUCCGCUAGGGUCUUCCCAGACCCCUGGCAAUGGCUUACGUCAUCAUCUGCCACCAUUUCCUGCCACCAGCAGGUGCAGGUGUCCUGGUGUAUAAAAGGCCUACUCUCUACUCCAUUUGGCUCUUUCUCCCUGUUCUGCUCUUCUCUGUCCCCCCUCUUUGCCCUCAUGGCAUUGCUCUCAUCUGUCUGCCUCUAACCCUUCUCUAGGUCCUCACUUCCCUCCCUCCCCCCAUAUAAACCUCCUUUGUACCAGAUGUGUUACAUGGUGUGACUUUUCAGGGGUAUGUCUUGCCAUGGUCCUGGUCAGGUAACAUCCCCCACCCCUCAAGGUAUUAUAUUUCAUAUCAAUCUGAAACAUAUCUCUGAAGGGAAUAAACAACAUUUUUAAAGGAUGAAAACUCAAA